AGACGCCCGUUUACACGCACCACCCCUGGGCGGGCUGUGCGGCUCAGGCCCUCCCCCGGGACCGGCCCGUGUCCCGCCCCGUGUCCCACCCCGUAUUUGUGCGGCGCCAGCUGGCCCCGCAGCCUGCGGCGCAGAGAGGCUGGGCUUGCAGGCGCAGUAGCUCCAGAGGUCGCGCUGGGCUGAGAGUGCGGGCCGGCAGAGGCUGGCGGGGAGCAGCCGGGGUUAUGCUGGGCAAGGAUUACAUGCUGGCCAUCAUUCUGGUCAACUGCGAUGGUGUGCACGGAGGGGCCCGGUGGGAAGACCAGGAGCUGAGGGAGGACGAGGGAAUCCGAAAGGCUACUCUGGGGCUCAAAGACAGGGUGGGGGAUACCUCUCUGUGUAGGGACCAGGGGGCGAAUGAACCCGAUCUUUACAUGUGAUGUCUUCAAGAUUGAGGAGCUUGGAUCUUCAGCCUAAGAACUGACCCAUUUUGGGGAUGGAGAGGGGAUUAUGACAGCAUGUUAUUCUGAACUCACAAAUCAUAUGCUCCCUCCUCUCUAAUCCGGUGUUCCUGUAGAUGACUUGUGGGAGGACCACAGUCUGGAGGGGGAGGCUGGCCUGCCUCCUGGCUGGAGGAAGAUCCACGAUGCUGCAGGUACUUACUACUGGCAUGUACCCAGCGGUAGCACCCAGUGGCAGCGCCCAACCUGGGAACUAGGAGAUGCAGAGGACCCAGGCACGGGAACGGAGGGGAUCUGGGGACUGCGGCCCCCCAAAGGGAGAUCCUUCUCCAGCCUGGAGAGUUCACUGGACCGGAGUAACUCUCUGUCCUGGUAUGGUGAGGAAUCCUACAUCCAGAGCAUGGAGCCAGGGGCUAAGUGCUUUGCAGUCCGCUCUCUGGGCUGGGUAGAAGUACCUGAAGAGGACCUGGCACCGGGGAAGAGCAGUAUUGCAGUCAAUAACUGUAUCCAGCAGCUGGCCCAGACCCGCAGCCGGAGCCAGCCUCCAGA
rnacentral:sRNA from 1 species